CUAUUGUGGCAGCUGCCGUGACAGCCGCCAUGGCAGGGGGGUCAUUUAUGGUCAAGGUCAUGGAUUACAUGAACCUCGCCAACAUAGCCGGGCUCUGACAAAACUGGCCUUGUCCACCAGAACUCAACACGCUUGCUACAGGGUUUUCCACUUAUACAAUACGUUUCAUGUCGGACCAUCACUUAGAUAGCUGGUUUGAGGUUUCACCACUUAUGGCCUUCACCUCUUUUUGCCACCUUAAGUUAAAAAUUCUCGCACAACACAGUUAAACUUAUCUCACGGGCAUUCAACACUAUACGUAUUUCUCCUUCCCAAACAACAAGGGUUCCUAUCCUCCUACCCCAUCCAUACCUUACUUAGAGACAUAGCCAAGCGGACGUUCCCGCUAAAACUAAAUACUGGCC